GGGGGUUGGGCAGUCAGCAGGGUUUUUUGAGUCAAAGUGACAGCAGGGUCCUCUCAGGGACAUUUGCAAAGGAAUGGAGUGGCACUGGGCUCUUUCUGUGCCUAAGUGUGGACUUUAGAGACAGGCUGGCCUGAAUUAAAAUCCCAGCUUGGCCAUUUUCUAGCUACAUGAGCUUUAACAUGUUUUGUAAUUUCUUUGACCACAAUCUCUGCCUUCAUUAAAGUGAGGACUAUAAUAUCUACUUGGGCAGGGAUGCACACACAUACACACACACACACACCAUGCUUGGUUUAUAAAACGAACUCAUUUGAUGUCUAUAUUUUGUUAUACAAUAAUAAGUUAUUCAUAUGAUAUAUAUAUAUUUUUUUUAAAUGGAGUCUUGCUCUAUCAUCAGGCUGGAGUGCAGUGGUGAGAUCUCGAGGCUUGCUGCAACCUUCACCUCCCAGGUUCAAGUGAUUCUCCUGCCUCAGCCUCCAGAGUGGCUGGGACUACAGGCCCAGCAUCCUUUUCCACUCGGAGCAUAGGGCUGAAACCGAGAGGCGAUUUCUCUACUUUGCUGGCUGUGUUUCCUGAGCAAGGUGAGCUUAUCAUUUUUCUUUCAGCUCCCAGCUAACAGAGAAGUUCCUCGGGCAAAAACAAAAAUGCACAAACACAAAAAAAUAAUGAGAGUUGGAACAAAAACACAAAUGUCCUCUGCCUUGCUCCAGUGUUUGGAAAAAUAAACUUGCCGGACAGGGGGCAUUGAAUUACUUCUUCAACAGGCAGG
rnacentral:lncRNA from 1 species